rnacentral:ncRNA from 1 species
ACCGCGGGGAGCUUGUGUGCAGGCUGAGAGGAAGUAAUCAACUUCGACCCUUAUACCUGAUUUGGAUAAUGCCAACGUAGGGAAUGUGCAGAA